rnacentral:rRNA from 1 species
UACAGAGGUCUCAAGCGUUGUUCGGAUUCAUUGGGCGUAAAGGGUGCGUAGGUGGCGCCGUCAGUCAGGUGUGAAAUUUCGGAGCUCAACUCCGAAACUGCAUUUGAUACUGCGGUGCUAGAGGACUGGAGAGGAGACUGGAAUUCACGGUGUAGCAGUGAAAUGCGUAGAUAUCGUGAGGAAGACCAGUGGCGAAGGCGGGUCUCUGGACAGUUCCUGACACUGAGGCACGAAGGCCAGGGGAGCAAACGGG